UACGUAGGGGGGCAAGCGUUGUCCGGAUUUAUUGGGCGUAAAGAGCGUGUAGGCGGCCACAUAGGUCAGCUGUGAAAACUCGAGGCUCAACCUCGAGACGUCGGUUGAAACCGUAUGGCUAGAGUCCGGAAGAGGAGAGUGGAAUUCCCGGUGUAGCGGUGAAAUGCGCAGAUAUCGGGAAGAACACCCGUGGCGAAGGCGGCUCUCUGGACCGAGACUGACGCUGAGGCGCGAAAAGCGUGGGGAGCAAACAGG
rnacentral:rRNA from 1 species